rnacentral:tRNA from 1 species
GCGGCAGUAGCUCAGUUGGUAGAGCGUCACGUUGCCAACGUGAAGGUCGCCAGUUCGAACCUGGUUUGCCGCUCCA